UACGUAGGGGGCAAGCGUUGUCCGGAAUCAUUGGGCGUAAAGAGCGUGUAGGCGGCCACUUAAGUCCUGCGUGAAAUCUUGCGGCUCAACCGCAAGCGGUCGUGGGAAACUGGGUGGCUAGAGUGCGGGAGAGGAGAGUGGAAUUCAUGGUGUAGCAGUGAAAUGCGUAGAGAUCAUGAGGAAGACCAGUGGCGAAGGCGGGUCUCUGGACAGUUCCUGACACUGAGGCACGAAGGCCAGGGGAGCAAACGGG
rnacentral:rRNA from 1 species